rnacentral:rRNA from 1 species
UGAGUAAUGCUUGGGAAUCUGGCUUAUGGAGGGGGAUAACUACGGGAAACUGUAGCUAAUACCGCGUAAUAUCGAAAGAUUAAAGUGUGGGACCUUCGGGCCACAUGCCAUAGGAUGAGCCCAAGUGGGAUUAGGUAGUUGGUGAGGUAAAGGCUCACCAAGCCGACGAUCUCUAGCUGGUCUGAGAGGAUGACCAGCCACACUGGGACUGAGACACGGCCCAG